rnacentral:tRNA from 1 species
UGGCUCAGUUGGUAGAGUAUGGUGUUUGCAAUGCCAGGGUUGUGGGUUUGAUUCCCAU